GGGCCCGUAGCUCAGUAUGGCAGAGCGCCCGGCUCAUAACCGGGCGGUCGUGGGUUCAAGUCCCACCGGGCCCA
rnacentral:tRNA from 1 species